rnacentral:rRNA from 1 species
GUAGGGUGCGAGCGUUAAUCGGAAUUACUGGGCGUAAAGCGUGCGCAGGCGGUUGUGUAAGACAGAUGUGAAAUCCCCGGGCUCAACCUGGGAACUGCGUUUGUGACUGCACAACUAGAGUACGGCAGAGGGAGGUGGAAUUCCGCGUGUAGCAGUGAAAUGCGUAGAGAUGCGGAGGAACACCGAUGGCGAAGGCAGCCUCCUGGGCCAGUACUGACGCUCAUGCACGAAAGCGUGGGGAGCAAAC